AUACUUACCUGGCAGGGGAGAUACCAUGAUCACGAAGGUGGUUUUCUCAGGAUGAGGAUUAUCCAUUGCACUGUAGGUGUGCUGACCCCUGCAAUUUCCCCACACAAUUCUGUGUGUUUGUAUUGAUUAUUUGUAAUUUUGCCUGUAUUGUUUGUACUGACAAAAA